UCAAAGCAGAAAAUUUCACAAACAGCCUUUGGAAAUUUUUUAUUCAGAAACUCUGAAACAAAAAACGAUGGCUUCUGGAGGUUGCAAGUGUGGUGACAAUUGCUCAUGUGGAGAUAGCUGCAAUUGUUGGACCAUUAAAGAGGCCACCUCCCUAGUCAACAUGAACAAUGGCUGCAGCUGCUGCGACAGUAGUUGCUCGUGCGAUGCAUGCGACUGCUGCUGAUUAACCAUUCGAAAGAUGGAUGAAACCUGUAAACAACAAAGCUUUUGUGAAAUGGAAUAAAAUUAUGUAACAAUCUGCAAAAAUAUUGUGUUUUUGGCUUCUUAUUUGUUGCACUUUGUUUGAAUUUAGCGUGUGAAGAACUAUGUAAUUGCUUUGUUGUGGGCUAUGGGUGGGUUGUUUAUAUAAUCAAAGUUGCUACAAGUGUGUUUGUUUGGAGUAUUGUAUGUAAUGAAAAUUUGUUUGGAUAUUUUAUAAUAUUGUGAAAGAUUGCAAUACAUUCA